rnacentral:rRNA from 1 species
UACGAAGGGGGCUAGCGUUGUUCGGAAUCACUGGGCGUAAAGGGCGCGUAGGCGGCUUUGUAAGUUAGAGGUGAAAGCCCGGGGCUCAACCCCGGAAUUGCCUUUAAGACUGCAUCGCUUGAAUCCGGGAGAGGUGAGUGGAAUUCCGAGUGUAGAGGUGAAAUUCGUAGAUAUUCGGAAGAACACCAGUGGCGAAGGCGGCUCACUGGUCCGGUACUGACGCUGAGGUGCGAAAGCGUGGGGAGCAAACAGG